UUUCCUCCGCUUAUUGAUAUGCUUAAGUUCAGCGGGUAUUCCUACCUGAUCCGAGGUCAACAUUCAGAAGUUGGGGGUUUAACGGCUUGGCCGCGCCGCGUACCAGUUGCGAGGGUUUUACUACUACGCAAUGGAAGCUGCAGCGAGACCGCCACUAGAUUUCGGGGCCGGCUUGCCGCAAGGGCUCGCCGAUCCCCAACACCAAACCCGGGGGCUUGAGGGUUGAAAUGACGCUCGAACAGGCAUGCCCGCCAGAAUACUGGCGGGCGCAAUGUGCGUUCAAAGAUUCGAUGAUUCACUGAAUUCUGCAAUUCACAUUACUUAUCGCAUUUUGCUGCGUUCUUCAUCGAUGCCAGAACCAAGAGAUCCGUUGUUGAAAGUUUUGAUUUAUUUAUGGUUUUACUCAGAAGUUACAUAUAGAAACAGAGUUUAGGGGUCCUCUGGCGGGCCGUCCCGUUUUACCGGGAGCGGGCUGAUCCGCCGAGGCAACAAUUGGUAUGUUCACAGGGGUUUGGGAGUUGUAAACUCGGUAAUGAUCCCUCCGCAGGUUCACCC
rnacentral:rRNA from 1 species